GCUCUUCCGUUUUUUUUUCUUCCUUAACUUUAGGAGCACCGUAGACGUUGGACUUUGUGACAGUUAAUCAACAAUUGUUCAUUACCACAACAGAAUUCCUAGCUGCCCAUUAACUCAAGACCUUUUAUAAUGCUGUAAUGUAAUUUCUUUGCAGGCAUUUGGCCAUCCAAAAGAUGGAGUAUGCCUAAAAUACACUCUUGUUACGCCGACUAUUGCACGGUAGAUGGCAGCAGUACAGCAGCGCAAUGCUCGUCGACUGUAACUCAAAAAGAAGAACCUGCAGCUCAACCAUGUUUUAAUCGAGAACAAUUGCAUUUGGCGCACUGCAUGGCUUUCCUAUAAAGAAACCUUCUGAUUGUAUGUUGGGUUGUCCCCCUAGUUAAGAGCACAAUCAGCCCAGAUUCAACGUUAGGGUUUGCACACUGAGGACCAUGAUGGAGAGAAAACGAGCCUUAACCAUUCCAUUUGCUCUUGAGAAGGACAAAUUAGUUUCCUGGACUGCAAUUGCCGGCCAUAAAUCCAGACGACGUGAUUCACGACACAAGAAUGGAGCAGUGCUGUUUGACCAUAACCAUGCUGCUAUGGUUAGGUUGGGCUUGGCAGUGAGGAAGCCCCGUCUGAUUCUGACAGAUGUCCUCAAGACUGACGCGGGCAAGGUUUACAUGGAGAAGAUAAAACGGCGCCCAAAUGGGAAGGAGAGGAGAAGUCGUGGCAAAGAUCCACCCAUAGUCGCCAGGGACAGGCGGUCCAGUCAAACAAAAAACACAAACUUACUACCGAGUGUACCACCUAGGAUCAAGCAGACUCCCAAAUUAUCACGAUCAAGUCCAAGAUCUUCAAAAAAGGCACAAAUUGAGAAGGAGGAGGAUGGACAAGGAGAUAAUGACGUGGUAUCUGGUGAAAAUGGGAACGUUGAACUUGUGGAUUGUGGAUUGUCUCUGAGUUGGGAACAAGAAGAUCUAAAUUUAUCUAAAUGUAAGGCCAAAGAAACAUCGAAAGAACCAAAAAAGACAAUACAGCAGAAAAGGAAAACAAAUGACUCAUUUUCAGAAUGUCCUGAAACAGACAGCCCCAAACGCCCCAGGGCGAGUGUUUUGCGCCUCUCUGGAGUUGCGAAUAUGGAUGGAGAACCCACCCUUUUUCCAGAGAAAGAAGCAGAUGACAAGGAUUCGAAAAACACAGAUAGUCCUAUUGUGCAGUUUACUGUGGGAGGAGCAAAUGCAGAAACCACAAUGCCCGUGCCAGAGGAUAAUGGUGCAACCACUGACACAGCUGAACCUAUUGUUCUUUCCAGUGAUGAAGAAGACGGUGGGGAAAAAAUUGAGAAUCUGAAACCUAUCUCACAG
rnacentral:lncRNA from 1 species